UGUCUGAAUAUGGGGGGACCAUCCUCCAAGGCUAAAUACUCCUGACUGACCGAUAGUGAACCAGUACCGUGAGGGAAAGGCGAAAAGAACCCCGGCGAGGGGAGUGAAAAAGAACCUGAAACCGUGUACGUACAAGCAGUGGGAGCCUCUUAAUGGGGUGACUGCGUACCUUUUGUAUAAUGGGUCAGCGACUUAUAUUCUGUAGCAAGGUUAACCGAAUAGGGGAGCCGAAGGGAAACCGAGUCUUAACUGGGCGUUAAGUUGCAGGGUAUAGACCCGAAACCCGGUGAUCUAGCCAUGGGCAGGUUGAAGGUUGGGUAACACUAACUGGAGGACCGAACCGACUAAUGUUGAAAAAUUAGCGGAUGACUUGUGGCUGGGGGUGAAAGGCCAAUCAAACCGGGAGAUAGCUGGUUCUCCCCGAAAGCUAUUUAGGUAGCGCCUCGUGAAUUCAUCUCCGGGGGUAGAGCACUGUUUCGGCAAGGGGGUCAUCCCGACUUACCAACCCGAUGCAAACUGCGAAUACCGGAGAAUGUUAUCACGGGAGACACACGGCGGGUGCUAACGUCCGUCGUGAAGAGGGAAACAACCCAGACCGCCAGCUAAGGUCCCAAAGUCAUGGUUAAGUGGGAAACGAUGUGGGAAGGCCCAGACAGCCAGGAUGUUGGCUUAGAAGCAGCCAUCAUUUAAAGAAAGCGUAAUAGCUCACUGGUCGAGUCGGCCUGCGCGGAAGAUGUAACGGGGCUAAACCAUGCACCGAAGCUGCGGCAGCGACACUAUGUGUUGUUGGGUAGGGGAGCGUUCUGUAAGCCUGUGAAGGUGGCCUGUGAGGGUUGCUGGAGGUAUCAGAAGUGCGAAUGCUGACAUAAGUAACGAUAAAGCGGGUGAAAAGCCCGCUCGCCGGAAGACCAAGGGUUCCUGUCCAACGUUAAUCGGGGCAGGGUGAGUCGACCCCUAAGGCGAGGCCGAAAGGCGUAGUCGAUGGGAAACAGGUUAAUAUUCCUGUACUUGGUGUUACUGCGAAGGGGGGACGGAGAAGGCUAUGUUGGCCGGGCGACGGUUGUCCCGGUUUAAGCGUGUAGGCUGGUUUUCCAGGCAAAUCCGGAAAACCAAGGCUGAGGCGUGAUGACGAAGCACUACGGUGCUGAAGCGACAAAUGCCCUGCUUCCAGGAAAAGCCUCUAAGCAUCAGGUAACAUCAAAUCGUACCCCAAACCGACACAGGUGGUCAGGUAGAGAAUACCAAGGCGCUUGAGAGAACUCGGGUGAAGGAACUAGGCAAAAUGGUGCCGUAACUUCGGGAGAAGGCACGCUGAUAUGUAGGUGAAGCGACUUGCUCGUGGAGCUGAAAUCAGUCGAAGAUACCAGCUGGCUGCAACUGUUUAUUAAAAACACAGCACUGUGCAAACACGAAAGUGGACGUAUACGGUGUGACGCCUGCCCGGUGCCGGAAGGUUAAUUGAUGGGGUUAGCGGUAACGCGAAGCUCUUGAUCGAAGCCCCGGUAAACGGCGGCCGUAACUAUAACGGUCCUAAGGUAGCGAAAUUCCUUGUCGGGUAAGUUCCGACCUGCACGAAUGGCGUAAUGAUGGCCAGGCUGUCUCCACCCGAGACUCAGUGAAAUUGAACUCGCUGUGAAGAUGCAGUGUACCCGCGGCAAGACGGAAAGACCCCGUGAACCUUUACUAUAGCUUGACACUGAACAUUGAGCCUUGAUGUGUAGGAUAGGUGGGAGGCUUUGAAGUGUGGACGCCAGUCUGCAUGGAGCCGACCUUGAAAUACCACCCUUUAAUGUUUGAUGUUCUAACGUUGGCCCGUAAUCCGGGUUGCGGACAGUGUCUGGUGGGUAGUUUGACUGGGGCGGUCUCCUCCUAAAGAGUAACGGAGGAGCACGAAGGUUGGCUAAUCCUGGUCGGACAUCAGGAGGUUAGUGCAAUGGCAUAAGCCAGCUUGACUGCGAGCGUGACGGCGCGAGCAGGUGCGAAAGCAGGUCAUAGUGAUCCGGUGGUUCUGAAUGGAAGGGCCAUCGCUCAACGGAUAAAAGGUACUCCGGGGAUAACAGGCUGAUACCGCCCAAGAGUUCAUAUCGACGGCGGUGUUUGGCACCUCGAUGUCGGCUCAUCACAUCCUGGGGCUGAAGUAGGUCCCAAGGGUAUGGCUGUUCGCCAUUUAAAGUGGUACGCGAGCUGGGUUUAGAACGUCGUGAGACAGUUCGGUCCCUAUCUGCCGUGGGCGCUGGAGAACUGAGGGGGGCUGCUCCUAGUACGAGAGGACCGGAGUGGACGCAUCACUGGUGUUCGGGUUGUCAUGCCAAUGGCACUGCCCGGUAGCUAAAUGCGGAAGAGAUAAGUGCUGAAAGCAUCUAAGCACGAAACUUGCCCCGAGAUGAGUUCUCCCUGAGACUUAGAGUCUCCUGAAGGAACGUUGAAGACGACGACGUUGAUAGGCCGGGUGUGUAAGCGCAGCGAUGCGUUGAGCUAACCGGUACUAAUGAACCGUGAGGCUUAACCUU
rnacentral:rRNA from 4 species